CAGCAGCCGCGGGAAUACGAAGGGCGCAAGCGUUAAUCGGAAUUACUGGGCGUAAAGCGUGCGUAGGCGGUUUGUUAAGUCUGUUGUGAAAUCCCCGGGCUCAACCUGGGAAUGGCAAUGGAUACUGGCAAGCUAGAGUGUGUCAGAGGAUGGUGGAAUUCCCGGUGUAGCGGUGAAAUGCGUAGAGAUCGGGAGGAACAUCAGUGGCGAAGGCGGCCAUCUGGGACAACACUGACGCUGAGGCACGAAAGCGUGGGGAGCGAACAGGAUUAGAUACCCCGGUAGUCCCUGUCUCUUAUAC
rnacentral:rRNA from 1 species